rnacentral:rRNA from 1 species
UACGAAGGGGGCUAGCGUUGCUCGGAAUCACUGGGCGUAAAGGGCGCGUAGGCGGCUGAUCAAGUCGAGGGUAAAAGCCCGUGGCUCAACCACGGAAUGGCCUUCGAUACUGGUUGGCUUGAGACCGGAAGAGGACAGCGGAACUGCGAGUGUAGAGGUGAAAUUCGUAGAUAUUCGCAAGAACACCAGUGGCGAAGGCGGCUGUCUGGUCCGGUUCUGACGCUGAGGCGCGAAAGCGUGGGGAGCAAACAGG